rnacentral:rRNA from 1 species
GACGAACGCUGGCGGCGUGCCUAAUACAUGCAAGUCGAACGCUUCUUUCCUCCCGAGUGCUUGCACUCAAUUGGAAAGAGGAGUAGCGGACGGGUGAGUAACACGUGGGUAACCUACCCAUCAGAGGGGGAUAACACUUGGAAACAGGUGCUAAUACCGCAUAACAGUUUAUGCCGCAUGGCAUAAGAGUGAAAGGCGCUUUCGGGUGUCGUUGAUGGAUGGACCCGCGGUGCAUUAGCUAGUUGGUGAGGUAACGGCUCACCAAGGCCACGAUGCAUAGCCGACCUGAGAGGGUGAUCGGCCACACUGGGACUGAGACACGGCCCAGACUCCUACGGGAGGCAGCAGUAGGGAAUCUUCGGCAAUGGACGAAAGUCUGACCGAGCAACGCCGCGUGAGUGAAGAAGGUUUUCGGAUCGUAAAACUCUGUUGUUAGAGAAGAACAAGGACGUUAGUAACUGAACGUCCCCUGACGGUAUCUAACCAGAAAGCCACGGCUAACUACGUGC